rnacentral:rRNA from 1 species
AUCCUAGACAGGGGAUCACUAGGCUCAUGGGGUCGAUGAAGACCGCAGCUAACUGCGUGUUGUCAUGUGAACUGCAGGACACAUGAACAUCGACAAGUUGAACGCAUAUCGCACUUCUU